rnacentral:rRNA from 1 species
GAUGAACGCUGGCGGCGUGCCUAAUACAUGCAAGUCGAACGCACAGCGAAAGGUGCUUGCACCUUUCAAGUGAGUGGCGAACGGGUGAGUAACACGUGGACAACCUGCCUCAAGGCUGGGGAUAACAUUUGGAAACAGAUGCUAAUACCGAAUGAAACUUAGUGUCGCAUGAUACGAAGUUAAAAGGCGCUUUGGCGUCACCUAGAGAUGGAUCCGCGGUGCAUUAGUUAGUUGGUGGGGUAAAGGCCUACCAAGACAAUGAUGCAUAGCCGAGUUGAGAGACUGAUCGGCCACAUUGGGACUGAGACACGGCCCAAACUCCUACGGGAGGCUGCAGUAGGGAAUCUUCCACAAUGGGCGAAAGCCUGAUGGAGCAACGCCGCGUGUGUGAUGAAGGCUUUCGGGUCGUAAAGCACUGUUGUAUGGGAAGAACAGCUAGAAUAGGGAAUGAUUUUAGUUUGACGGUACCAUACCAGAAAGGGACGGCUAAAUACGUGCCAGCAGCCGCGGUAAUACGUAUGUCCCGAGCGUUAUCCGGAUUUAUUGGGCGUAAAGCGAGCGCAGACGGUUGAUUAAGUCUGAUGUGAAAGCCCGGAGCUCAACUCCGGAAUGGCAUUGGAAACUGGUUAACUUGAGUGCAGUAGAGGUAAGUGGAACUCCAUGUGUAGCGGUGGAAUGCGUAGAUAUAUGGAAGAACACCAGUGGCGAAGGCGGCUUACUGGACUGUAACUGACGUUGAGGCUCGAAAGUGUGGGUAGCAAACAGGAUUAGAUACCCUGGUAGUCCACACCGUAAACGAUGAACACUAGGUGUUAGGAGGUUUCCGCCUCUUAGUGCCGAAGCUAACGCAUUAAGUG